ensembl:lncRNA
AGUGGAGGGGGGUGGCAGGGUAGCCUAGUGGUUAGAGUGGAGGGGUGGCAGGGUAGCCUAGUGGUUAGAGUGGAGGGGCGGCAGGGGAGUGGGGGUGGAGGGGUGGCAGGGUAGCCUAGUGGUUAGAGUGGAGGGGCGGCAGGGUAGCCUAGUGGUUAGAGUGGAGGGGUGCAGGGUAGACUAGUGGUUAGAGUGGAGGGGCGGCAGGGUAGACUAGUGGUUAGAGUGGAGGGGCGGCAGGGUAGACUAGUGGUUAGAGUGGAGGGGCGGCAGGGUAGCCUAGUGGUUAGAGUGGAGGGGCGGCAGGGUAGCCUAGUGGUUAGAGUGGAGGGGCGGCAGGGUAGCCUAGUGGUUAGAGUGGAGGGGCGGCAGGGUAGAAUAGUGGUUAGAGGGGAGUGGAGGCAGGGUAGCCUAGUGGGUAGAGUGGAGGGGCGGCAGGGUAGCCUAGUGGUUAGAGUGAAGGGGCGGCAGGGUAGCCUAGUGGUUAGAGUGGAGGGGCGGCAGGGUAGUCUAGUGGUUAGAGUGGAGGGGCGGCAGGGUAGCCUAGUGGUUAGAGUGUUGGACUAGUGACCGGAAGGUUGCAAGUUCAAACCCCCGAGCUGACAAGGUACAAAUCUGUCGUUCUGCCCCUGAACAGGCAGUUAACCCACUGUUCCCAGGCCGUCAUUGAAAAUAAGAAUUUGUUCUUAACUGACUUGCCUCGUUAAAUAAAG